rnacentral:tRNA from 1 species
GCCGGAGUGGUGGAAUGGCAGACGCGUUGGACUCAAAAUCCAAUGGUAGCAAUACCGUGCGGGUUCAAGUCCCGCCUUCGGCACCA